rnacentral:misc_RNA from 1 species
UGCAUUUUUGAGUCAUUGUGGAUGGAAUUCAGUGCUUGAAGCUCUUAGCUGUGGUGUUGCAAUAAUGGGAUGGCCACAGGCAGCCGAACAGUUCUGCAAUGUCAAGCUUUUGGAAGAGAUUGGAGUUUGUGUGGAGGUUGGUAGAGGAAAAACCUGUGAAGUUAGACAUGAUAUUUUAGCAAGAAAGAUUGAAUUGGUGAUGAAUGAGACAGAGAAAGGAAUAGAAAUGAGAAGGAGAGCUUGUGAAGUGAGAGACAUGAUAAAAAAGGCCAUUAAAGCUGAGGAAGGAUGCAAGGGUUCUUCUACUAAAGCGAUGGAUGAGUUCUUGAAUGCUGCGUCGCUUAUGAGAAAGGAGAGUAAUAAGAUGGGUACAAAUGGGGAAGGUUCAAAUUCAAAGCAGUUGUGUCCUUGCAGGGAUGGUGCUGGUGAACACUAAAAUGCCACUGUUGUUGCGUUGUUGC